ACACGUAGGGGGCAAGUGUUGUCCGGAAUUACUGGGCGUAAAGGGUGCGUAGGCGGCCGAGCAAGUCCGAUGUGAAAGACCACGGCUAAACUGUGGGGGUGCAUAGGAAACUGUCCGGCUUGAGUGCAGGAGAGGAAAGUGGAAUUCCUAGUGUAGCGGUGAAAUGCGUAGAGAUUAGGAAGAACACCAGUGGCGAAGGCGACUUUCUGGACUGUAACUGACGCUGAGGCACGAAAGCGUGGGGAGCGAACAGGAUUAGAUACCCUGGUAGUCCACGCCGUAAACGAUGGAUACUAGGUGUAGGGGGUAUCGACCCCCCCUGUGCCGGAGUUAACGCAAUAAGUAUCCCGCCUGGGGAGUACGGCCGCAAGGUUGAA
rnacentral:rRNA from 1 species